rnacentral:lncRNA from 1 species
CUCAAAAAACAAAGUAGACAGCUCCUAUGGAACGCUGGCCUCCAUUUGUGUGUGAACACAGACAGACAGACAGACAGACAGACAGACAGACAGACAGGAUACACACACACACACACACACACACAGAGAGAGAGAGAGAGAGAGAGAGAGAGAGAGAGAGAGAGAGAGAGAGAGAACUAACAUCUUCGCUACAGUUUAGAGGCCCGAGUGGUGUUAGGGAUUAUGUUGUUCUAAACCUCUAACCCAAUGCCUUCUUUCAGAACCAGAGUGGCAGCCUAUCUCUGCCUCCUGCUCAGAUGGACCAGACUGUUUCAGAGGACAGCAGUGCAGACAGUCAGAACAGAAUAGCCCAGAUCACACAAGAGAUGGCCACCGAGGUGCUCCUGAUGGCUCAGAGCUUGAGGAAGAGAGGGCAAAUCCUGACCAAAGAUCAGCUCAUUGCUUCUGCCAGGAAAGUCUCAGCUUCUGGGAAAAACUUCACCAGACUCAUUCGCAUCAUUGCUAAGAACUGCAUAGACCAGAGAUGCUCCCAGGAUCUUCUGUGUAUGGUGGAGCAGAUUCAAACCAUGAGCAGCCAGCUCAGCAUCAUCUCCAGGUAGGAAGCAGCUUGGGGGAGAACAGCUAAGCUUUUAUUCGUGGGGAUGGAAGGGGAGUCAUGUAUAUAAGCUUAAUGAUUUACCAUCCUAGAGUUGACACUGGUCCCUCCCCCACUCAGAACACGGGUCCUCACUUCAGUGGCACUAAUGUGCUCACAACACUUCAGGGUAGUUAGCCUUCUGCACAGUAACUGACACCCUUUCUUUAUAACCAUGUGUAAAAUUUGACAGUUAGCCCUCUACUUUUACGUUAAUCACAUCUAAUGAAAAAGCUAUCUUUUAAAUCCUGGUGUGCAGUGACAUUUCAGACAGUGACAGACUUCGUUUAUGUGGUGGUUUCAUAAGAUGACCACGUAAUGACAGCGCAGACAUCUUAGUUUAGGGAGGUACACUCUGUGAUGUUCACACAAAGACACAAUCACCCGAGAACACAGUCCUCAGAUGGAUUCCUGUCAUUGGUUGCUGGACUGUAUAUGAGUAACAGUCAAUCAGGCCGGGCAUGGGGGCCGUAUAAUCUCAGCAUUCGGAGGUAGAGACAGGAGGAUCAGGGGCGCAGGGUCUGCCUUGGCUCCGUAGUAAGAUCAAGUCUAUUCAGGCUACACAAGACCAUAUCUCAACAAACAAAUACAGUGAGGGAAACAGGAAAACCACCAGCAGGAAGCAUGUGCUAAGGUUAGCCCAGGUACAAACUGGAGUGGCAGUGCACACUAUAAUCCCAGCGUUUAAGAGGUAGAAGCAGAAGCUCAAGGCUGUGCUUGGUUACAUAAUGAGGUUGGUGUCUACAUGUGCUACACGAGACUCUAUUCACCACCACCCCAAAGAGUAAGUCACAUAAUGUGCCUCAAUUCUGGAGGUGAGUCAUUUUCACUUACUGCCUCCUUACAACAGCUCUUCUACUGACAGACAUUACGCAUCAUAAAAGAAUUAUACAAGGUUUAGUUCAACCUGAGUCCAUUAGACCCCACAGUGGCACGUCGACAAAUAAUGAGGUCUCAUGGUGACAGUCUUGCCUAUAGAAAGGCUUGGAUGUUAAAACUACUGCCAGUUGUGAGUGAAAGGUCUUAGAUACGUUACAGGACACCAAGACAGACAUGGUUCCUUGAGGCUGCAAGAUUUACUUAAUGCCAUGGGCAGACAGCCAACAGCAUGGCAGGGGCUGGGAAGAUAGGAAUAAGAAUCCAAACGGCAGAAAGUGAGAGUCUCUUCUUACACCUUUCUGACUGGAGGGAGGGUCUACAGCAUGAGUCUGGAGGCAGGCUGGUUCUCAGACAGGGGCAUGGGAAGGAGUUCAGAGCAGGAUGGGUGGUGCCAAUACCCACGUUGACAUAAGCACACUUCCCCACUGUGCGAUCCUAGAUGCUACCAUCUGGAAGUCUGUUAGCA